CUCCACAUGACCCUCUCUAUCUCCCUCAACUUUCUUCAUAAAUAUCCCCAUCGCCCUCCUCUAUCCUCCCAUCACCUCCACUUCUGCUCUCUGCUUCUCUCUCUUAUCUCUCCCUCUCUACAGUCAGCAGCUUCUUAUUCUUUACCCCUUCUUGCUUCAAUGGCCAUCAGGAAAUCCAACAAACUAUCUCAAACAGCAGUCCUCAAGCAAAUUCUCAAGAGAUGUUCAAGCUUAGGCAAGAAGCAUGGUUAUGAUGAUGAUGGCCUCCCUCUUGACGUACCUAAAGGACAUUUUGCUGUUUAUGUUGGUGAAAACAGAAGUAGAUACAUAGUUCCUAUCUCCUUCUUGACUCACCCAGAAUUCCAAUGCCUGCUUCGACAAGCUGAAGAAGAGUUUGGAUUUGAUCACGAUAUGGGACUUACCAUUCCCUGUGAGGAGGUUGUUUUUCGCUCGCUAACAUCAUCACUCAGAUGAGUGUUUUAACAAAGGGUGAGGGUAAUGGUGAUGGUGCUUUUCUUGUUUUGCAUGGAGAAGAUGGCUCGCCAUAAGAUGAAGCCACAGGAUGAUUGCACUAGCUAUAGCUGCUGGCCUUGUCUUUUUUUCAACAUCUUCUCUAUUUUGAUUCUUGAUCUUGGUUUUUUUUCUUAUUAGUUCUUUUUUUUUUAUAUCCGUAUUGGAUCUUUUAAACCCUUUUGGGUUUUGAUGUCUAAUUACUAACCUAGAAACCCAUCAAAAAUGUUAUGGGUUAAUAGAUUUGUAUAAAGUUUGGUUUUCCUCACAGACGUUAACAAAUGUAACACCACUGUGAGAGAAGUUUCUAAGGAAAUGUAAGGGUUAUGUACCUCUUUUAACCUCACAAA
rnacentral:misc_RNA from 1 species